ensembl:lncRNA
GUCAUGGUUCAUUAACUCAGAACUGGACUUCACAUCAUGGAUUCUAAACACUGAAUCCUUGCGAGAGUUACACGAGGGCCAAAUCUCCUCCCUGUUCUCGGAAGCACCAGUUUUUUUCUCUUUUUUACCUAAUCAAGAACUGAAUACAUUUUGCACACUCCUACUUAACUGGUCUUUUUGCACAAGAAGCUGCGUUCUUUCUCCUUUCCACUCUUAUGCUUUUAAAAAUAAAAAAGGAGGAAUGGAGCAGGAACAGCCAAAAUAAUAAUAACUCCCCCCUGCUCUGAAUUAACUUGUCAGACAUUCCCUUUCCUUCCCCCUCUCUCCAUCUUAUGAAAGAUCUGCCAACGUCUUGAUGCUUUGAAGUCAUGUCUGUUUUCCAAACUGUUCUAGCACAUCCCACCCUGCUUUGGCCCUUUUCUGUACACGAUGGGCCAGAAUCUGUGGGGCCUCAUUAUGGUAAAAUGGUUGAUAAUCACAGCAGUGUGAGCACAGGAAAAUAACACCAAGAAACCCUCAUCCUGCUCUGUGGGAUCACACGACUAUGUCCUAUGUUCCUGACUGGCUAGAGACUCCCAGAAAAGAAGAUGUUGAAGUUUGUGGAUUUUAUCGUCUGCAAUGUCGGGGGUGUAUUUUGGAGCCAUCGUGAAGGUGAUUACAUCAGCUGGUUGUGGUCUAUUGGUCAUGUCAUCUGCAAAGGAGGUGUAUUGGAGUCUUUUCUUGUGAUUACAUCGUAGAGGUGGUAACAACAGCCAACAGAUCCCAUCUGUAUCCAGAUCAGAUGGUCACUGCAGUUACCCAGAUCCAGCACGUAUCCAUCCCAGAUGGUGGAUCAGGACCUAGAGAUGACCUAGACAACGCUGCAUGUCAACUAGAUGAGCCCCAGAGAUAGAUCCCCAGUGAAGACCUUGUCUCCUAGAUGACCACUGGGACAAGACCACGGGAAUCAGAUGAAUCCUCUGCACAAUCUGACUUUGCUGCAGCCUAGAAUUAAACUGCUGGUUUCAUCUGGCCAGAGGAGAAUGGCACACCAUUUCGACACACUAUUCCCCUGUUUAAUACUGUAAAGCCGCUUUGACACAAUCUGCAUUGAAAAAAGCGCUAUAUAAAUAAUGGUGACUUGACUUUGCUCUACUGUUUGAUCUACAGGAAUGCAUUAUAAGGAAUGGAGCUUUAAUAAUUUGUGUGGGAUUAUGAAACAAUUAUGCACAUUCAUGGUGCGUUCAGAUAGUAUAUAGUGUUGAUUAAAAUCAAAGCACAUACAGAACAAAGUCUGACAGUUGGGAUAAAUUCAGUAAACAAUUAUUUCAAUUUUCUUUGUUGUGCUUGCAGGCUCAUUCUGAUAAUCAACCCUGGUGGCACCAAAAGCCAUUCAGAGUCACAGUUCAGAUGGAAUUCAGGAAAGAGGGUGCAAAUAAAAAGCAUCAGCCUGAAUCCCCUCGUGGUGUU